UGGGGAAUAUUGCACAAUGGGCGCAAGCCUGAUGCAGCCAUGCCGCGUGUGUGAAGAAGGCCUUCGGGUUGUAAAGCACUUUCAGCGAGGAGGAAGGUGGUGAACUUAAUACGUUCAUCAAUUGACGUUACUCGCAGAAGAAGCACCGGCUAACUCCGUGCCAGCAGCCGCGGUAAUACGGAGGGUGCAAGCGUUAAUCGGAAUUACUGGGCGUAAAGCGCACGCAGGCGGUUUGUUAAGUCAGAUGUGAAAAUCCCCGGGCUCAACCUGGGAACUGCAUUUGAAACUGGCAAGCUAGAGUCUCGUAGAGGGGGUAGAAUUCCAGGUGUAGCGGUGAAAUGCGUAGAGAUCUGGAGGAAUACCGGUGGCGAAGGCGGCCCCCUGGACGAAG
rnacentral:rRNA from 1 species